CAAAAUAAAAGCAGAAGCCCCGCUGUUUAGAGAGUCCAGGCAACCACCAGUCCAUCUGCCUCAACAACCAGGCCACUCAAAAGCCUCAUUUCAAGGGCAAAACAUCAGAAAGGAGGAGCAAUGCAAAAGGCAAAAAGGCUGACACAGAGCAUCCAAGAUUUUCUGCAAUGAGAAUACAACUUCUUUGAAAUUUUAAGUUUUUAAAGAAGAUCAUCCACAGUAACCCAUCUUAGCAAAAACCUCACCAGUCAUGCACAAAUUGAGUAAAUCAGAAGCAAUACUGUGUUCAAACUUGACUGAGUUUGAGUAAAUUUGUUAAUUCUUCUGAGCCACAUACUAGGAUUGCUGUGGACCAGCCUCUUCCCUUUACAGAAAGACUCAACUCCUGCUGACAGCAUCUUGAACAGCCUUCUCUGCCUCCUCCCA
rnacentral:lncRNA from 1 species